rnacentral:rRNA from 1 species
UACGAAGGGGGCUAGCGUUGUUCGGAUUUACUGGGCGUAAAGCGCACGUAGGCGGAUUGGUCAGUUAGGGGUGAAAUCCCAGAGCUCAACUCUGGAACUGCCCUUAAUACUGCCAGUCUAGAGUCCGGAAGAGGUAAGUGGAAUUCCUAGUGUAGAGGUGGAAUUCGUAGAUAUUAGGAAGAACACCAGUGGCGAAGGCGGCUUACUGGUCCGGUACUGACGCUGAGGUGCGAAAGCGUGGGGAGCAAACAGG